CCGAAAGGCGUAGUCGAUGGCAAACAGGUUUAAUAUUCCUGUACCGGUGGUAACUGCGAUGGGGGUGACGGAGAAGGCUAGAUCAGCUGACGGUUGGAAGUGUCAGUUUUAAGCGAGUAGGGAGUGGACUUAGGCAAAUCCGGGUUCACCUAUUCUGAGACGUGAUGACGAGUUGCUCCUCGGAGCGACGAAGUGAUUGAUGCCCUGCUUCCAAGAAAAACCUCUAAGCUUCAGGUUAUCAGUGGCCGUACCCCAAACCGACACAGGUGGGUAGGAUGAGAAUUCUAAGGCGCUUGAGAGAACUCGGCUGAAGGAACUAGGCAAAAUGAUACCGUAACUUCGGGAGAAGGUAUGCCCUUGGUAGGUGAAGGUCCUCGCGACUGGAGCCGAAGAGGGGUUGCAAUAAAAUGGUGGCUGCGACUGUUUAGCAAAAACAUAGCACUCUGCAAACUCGAAAGAGGACG
rnacentral:rRNA from 1 species